rnacentral:lncRNA from 1 species
UUAUUUUACACCUGAGAUUAUCUCAGCGACUGCCUCCAAAAUGAAAUCGUUGAUAUGGAAAAGAAUAGUCUUUUUAAAGAAAAACUAAAAAGAGAACUCUUCAGAAUAUCAGCUGUCAAGUCUGGCUAUUUUACCCAUCUCCUCCGUGGGAUAGAGAAAGAAAACUCUGCUUUGGAUAUCUAACCUAUUAAACAUAAAUGAUGAAAGUUUCCUGUGAAGCAUAACAAUCCCUGAUUGUGAAAGUACCCCACAAGCAUCGUUAACUAUAAAGUAAGGAAAAGUAUGAAAGAACCAUCUGGU